UACGUAGGGGGCAAGCGUUGUCCGGAAUCAUUGGGCGUAAAGCGCGUGUGGGCGGCCCGGUAAGUCCGCUGUGAAAGUCGGGGGCUCAACCCUCGAAUGCCGGUGGAUACUGUCGGGCUAGAGUGCGGGAGAGGCGAGUGGAAUUCCUGGUGUAGCGGUGAAAUGCGCAGAUAUCAGGAGGAACACCAAUUGCGAAGGCAGCUCGCUGGAACGUAACUGACGCUGAGACGCGAAAGCGUGGGGAGCAAACAGG
rnacentral:rRNA from 1 species